GCAAUGUGUACUAAAUUAAUUUCGCUAGUAAUUCAUUUAAAAAAAAAAAAAACUUUACACUCACAAAAUAUUAAAAUUGUCAUUAGAUUGAAGUUGACGUUAUUUUAGAAGCGCACUUGUUUUGAAGUUACUGAGGUUUGGAUUUAACCCAUUCGAUUCAAGUGGCCAGGCAACGGGCUAAUACCUGACGAUACGCUGUUCUUCAAUCAGCCAAUCAUGUUGCAGCAGGGCAAUGCAUAAAAAUCAAUCAGAUACAGGUCAAGAGCUUCUGCUAGUGUACGUCAGAACGGAGAAAAAUGUGAUCUCUGUGGCUUUGACCGUGGCAGAUGGGCUGGGUUGAGUAUCUCCUGAGAGUUUCACACACAACCGCUCUAGAGUUUGCACAAAAAGGUGAGCAUCAGCAUUCUUUUGGGGGGGUUGAUGAGAGAGGUCAGAGGACAAUGGCCGGAGUGCUUAAAAGCUGACAGGAAGGCUAUGAUCACUCGAAUAAUCACUCUUUAACCGUGGUGAGCAGAAAAGCAUCUCACUCCGAACCUUGAAAAGGGAUGCGCUACAACAGCACAAGACUACAUGGGGUUCUCCUUCCUGUCGGCCAAGAUCAGCGAGUAUAAAAACUCGAUAAUAAUAUAAUAUGCAUCGUUAUGCUAUGAAGCAGCCACGUUGCCUAACGCUACCUGGAGCCUAUAGAAGAUUUCAUAAGAUUUGCAUAAUAGAAGCAAACAUCAGACACCAAUCAUGUCUUGGCUGAUCAGCUCCAUUUCUGGUAAAGGGAAGUCACGUGGGAAGUCAAGUGGGAAGUCACGUGGGAACCCCCCCCUCUCUCCCUCCUUUUAUCAUCCUUCAAAGAGAUUAAAGCUGAACAAAUUUCUCAAAGCUAGUGCCUGGCUUCUUAUAAGGUCUAUUACAACAACACCACACACACACACUGAUGCACAGCACACAAACUCGAGUAGUAAAUUAUAAAUAUAAAUUAAAUUGAGUGUGUGUGUGUGAAUUUUCUUAUAGAUUAGCGGUGCUCAUAGCGGGGUCUGUGAAGCACAUUAUAUUUAUUUAAGGUGUGCUUAUAUUAGUCGACUUUUUUGACUUGUCAUUUGAAGCAAAUGGGUAUAAUGCAAACCUUAAGAACACAAAAGCAUGCAGGCUUGUGAAUAAUGCCAGCUUGAACAUGUUUUCAGUGGGUGUCACGUUCAGGAUUAGAAACUUACCUAUAGCCGAUUAAGUAGCCGAUAUAUUACUGUACACAUUGAAAUAAUAAGCCUAAUAUUUGAAUAAUAAGCCUAAUAUUUGAUGUUGAACUGCGUGUCUGUAUUUGCCAGAUUGUACCUGAGGCGUUAUGCGAGAAAACGGGGAUGGGUAGACUGAGUGACAGUAGACGGAGUGUAAACAAGAACACACAUGGAGGCACAUAAAGGACGGCCAUCUCACGGAAAACUCUCUCGCGCACCGGUUUAUAUGUGCUGCGCUCCUGACCUCAAGCUUAAUAAAUAAAUCUAGGGCAGAUGGGAAUAAAUAACCUGUAUAUAUUCUAAAACAGUUCAGCCUGCUGUCC
ensembl:lncRNA